GGCACAAACUUGAAGUAGAGUAGAUCAGUAUGGUCAGCUUAUCCUACUAGUCUAUUUUACUGCGAUUUUGGGUCC
rnacentral:pre_miRNA from 1 species